AAUAGAUACCCCGGUAGUCCACGCCGUAAACGAUGUCGACUUGGAGGUUGUGCCCUUGAGGCGUGGCUUCCGGAGCUAACGCGUUAAGUCGACCGCCUGGGGAGUACGGCCGCAAGGUUAAAACUCAAAUGAAUUGACGGGGGCCCGCACAAGCGGUGGAGCAUGUGGUUUAAUUCGAUGCAACGCGAAGAACCUUACCUACUCUUGACAUCCAGAGAACUUAGCAGAGAUGCUUUGGUGCCUUCGGGAACUCUGAGACAGGUGCUGCAUGGCUGUCGUCAGCUCGUGUUGUGAAAUGUUGGGUUAAGUCCCGCAACGAGCGCAACCCUUAUCCUUUGUUGCCAGCGGUCCGGCCGGGAACUCAAAGGAGACUGCCAGUGAUAAACUGGAGGAAGGUGGGGAUGACGUCAAGUCAUCAUGGCCCUUACGAGUAGGGCUACACACGUGCUACAAUGGCAUAUACAAAGAGAAGCGACCUCGCGAGAGCAAGCGGACCUCAUAAAGUAUGUCGUAGUCCGGAUUGGAGU
rnacentral:rRNA from 1 species